GCAGUAGUGGUUCAAUGUUAGAAUUCCCACCUUCCAUGUGGGAAGCCUAGGUUUGAUUCCUAGCCAAUGCA
rnacentral:tRNA from 1 species